UCAUCUCUUGGACCUUCGUCAUGGGGGCUCCAAAGUGCUGUUCGUGCAGGUAGUGUGAUUACCUGACCUACUGCUGAGCUAGCACUUCCCGAGCCCCCAGGACACAGCCUCUCCCAGUUGCC
rnacentral:precursor_RNA from 13 species